rnacentral:rRNA from 1 species
ACGUGAAAUUGUCGAAAGGGAAGCGCUUGAAGUCAGCCAUGCUGCUUGAGACUCAGCCUUGCUUUUGCUUGGUGUAUUUCUCGGUAGCAAGCCAGCAUUGGUUUGAGUCGUCGGAGAAGGGUACGAGAAAUGUGGCAUCCUCGGAUGUGUUAUAGGCUUGUACUGGAUACGACGAUUUGGAUCAAGGAACGCAGUGUGCCUCUGGCGGGUCU